CACGUAGGGCGCAAGCGUUGUCCGGAAUUAUUGGGCGUAAAGAGCUCGUAGGCGGUCUGUUGCGUCCGCUGUGAAAACUCGGGGCUUAACCCCGAGCCUGCAGUGGAUACGGGCAGACUAGAGGUAGGUAGGGGAGAAUGGAAUUCCCGGUGUAGCAGUGAAAUGCGCAGAUAUCGGGAGGAACACCGGUGGCGAAGGCGGUUCUCUGGGCCUUACCUGACGCUGAGGAGCGAAAGCAUGGGGAGCGAACAGG
rnacentral:rRNA from 1 species